GGCAGGCCCAGCAGUGUGCCAGCUCCAGAAAAUGGGCCGAGCAAGGGCCCUCCUCCACCCUCACACAGUCGCUGGAGCAGAGAGGAGUUCUGCUGAGUAGAAGAAAGACGGAGGCUUUUGAUGGUCUAGAACGCCGGGUAUCUGUGACUGCACUUGGAAAUGCACCGUCCGGCAUGUGUGCUAAUGUGGACAGCUCAGUUCUUCAGUCGUGCUGUGAUUGGUUUGCUUCUAAGGAGCCACAAAGGUCAAGGAAGGUAAGAGGCUCUGGUCACAUACACAUCUCACUCAGCUUCAGCUGAGAUGCCCGUGAAGCAGUGUGCCCUGAAUUCUCUCUGAGUGGUAUGUCAUGAGCAAUUUCCUGUGUUACUAUCAUAAUCAUGAUUUUAAUGGCUGGGUAGUAGUUCAGAGUUUCUCAGUACUGAAAAACACAAUGUCAAUAUGGCUUUGAACAAAAUAAUAUUGACCAUAAUGGAAGAAAUACAACCGUAAGCUUCAGGCACUUAAAAGUUUAAAUGUUAUUAUUUUCAUGGCCAACAGGGGCUGGCUUUGCUCCAUGUACUUUGAAAUUCACAAAGUAUACUAGAAUAAAAUCAGUUUAUCUCAUUCCUGAGCCCUUAAUUUCUGGCCAAUAGACACAACCCUGUGCGUGGGCCAUCUUGCCAGGGUCUGUACGUUGGAACAGAAACUAAGCCCUUGCUGCCUGUCAUCCUCUUUUCUCCAGCAGGGUCCCCACAUUCCCACAGCUUAAAGUCUAUUUUAAACUCUAUCCUUUCCCAUGUUCUUUGUUUCUCUUAGAUAUCAUGUGUGUAAUUAUGAAAAUAAAUCCAGAUUGAGGCUGCCUUUGGAGGGAUGGGAGCCUCGCAGAACAGCCACAUCUGUAGGAACUGUUUCUCCUUGGUGCCGUUCUGUGGAAAUGAAGCACUGCGAUCAGUUUAGAAUAAUUAGGGGAUAAAAACCCAAAGCACUGAGUAAAAAUUAGCUCCGCCAGUCUGUUGUUGGCUUUUGAGUUCCCCCAACAUGCACCAUUUGUAUUCAUGACUUCGUCAGCCUCAGCGUGGUUUUCGUAGUCUUUCCAAGAAUGCAAGCUACCAGACUCACAUCAGCUCAGCUGAGCGUUCUGCCGACCUUCCCUGUACAGGUGAAGGAGGCACGGCCUCCCCACUGGGCUUCACAGUGGUCAGUGAGACCACUGGGAAGCAGGACGGUACCAGCAGGCUCGUUUAUUGGCUGCUGAACACUUGGUAUAGGGUGUCUAAGGUUGGGGGAGCCGGGCAGGGAGAUUUCACGGGGGCUGAGGUCUAACAGAGACCCAGAUGAGGCUUGGUUCCAUUUCAAGGUAUAGUAUCACAAAGUAUUAGCUUCACCAAAUAUUGCUUCUAAUGCAUUCCUGAACUCUUUUUGUAGACCCUGACAAAUGACAGGAGUGCUAGCAACUUCUUUUUAGCACCAGGGCUGGAAUGCUUUGCCUGCAGUGUCUCCUCAGGAAUCCCCACACCACUGAACAAGGACAGGGAUAUCUGCCUUGAACAAUGUCUGGUGCAUAGAAGCAUGCUGACAGCGCGCAGCACCCGCUGAGCUCUGAUGCAGGGGAUGCUUCCAUCCUCUGCCUGGUGGGGAGACCAGACCUGGAAACAGGCAUAGAAGGCACAGUGCACAUCAGAGGGGUGUCAUGAAGAGGCCCUGGUGGCCAGUGACUGAGAGCCUUCUCAAGUAGAGUCAUGCAGGUGACUCACUUCUGAAAGAGAGCACGGUUCUCCCACCCACAGCUGUAUGGAGUCUCCGCGUGGGUCUGGGGCCAGCACAAACACCACUUGGGGCUCCGGUGGAACCACCUACUGGCGGCGUGAUUCUCGGCAGUAAACUGCGGUCCUCCCCCACUGUCUGCACGGUGACACUGUACCCGCUCAGCUGGGAGGGUUAGAGGAGAGAAGGGUCUGAGAGGGCCAGUGAGCCCCGGGGCCCGGAACACACAUGAUGUUUCUACUUGGUUUAAAUGAAGCGUGCACCUUUUUAUACGUUAAGGAGAAAACACUGCUCACCACCUUUAAUCUACAUAAAAUCAUUACAUGAGGUUUAAAGUUUUUGUUUCCUUGUUGUUUUGUUUCAGAUUCCUUAAUUACUUUCUCCUCAGUAUGACAAAUCAUACUUAUUCUGUGAUGCAUACAUACCCACUUAUUCUGUGACCCACAGGGAUUUUUGCUUCAUCUGACAGAUCAGUCUGUCAGAUACUAAAGUGGCCCCACGGAAUUUAUCUGAACAUGAGCCUUAACGAAAGAGGAAUGCCAGCUUUUCAAAUGUGGAAACCAGAUGAAAUCUGGAGAUAGGGCCCAGAGGAGCUAUGUGGUAAAGGAACACCACAGGGCUUUGUCCUGGCCGAGGAGUGGGGAGGCCACUGAGGCUCAUUUUUUUUGUGUUUCAAACUUAUGUCAAAGUAGGGGUAGCUUUCCCAGACAUGUCAUUUAGUACAUGGCCCAAUUGCCUAAGGACUGCAGGGAAUCUUCAGUUCCCUUCAGACCCCCGGAAACUACCCCAACAUAGCCCCAAACACAGCCUGACCAAACACAGUUCCCACUCUCCGCCCGCUGCUGAGGUGGAUGAGAACUUGUGUCUGAAGACAGGCAGCUUUGUUCUAAGACAAUAAAAGCACAAUUAUGAAAAAAUAUAAAUGUGCACAUAAAAACAUACAGAAAAGCCAAACACAAUAGGGACCCAGCCAAGCUCAGCAAUUUAGCCAUGACCCCCAGGAACACCAAGUACAGAUUCAGGCCUUCAGGCAACACUUUAAAAGCAUGCAAACCUUUUUUAGAAACUCUUUAUGCACAAAAUUCAAUUGCAAUUGUAUGUUUUUUAUUUUGAAAUAAUUUUAGACUUAGAGAAAAUUUGCAAAAAUAAUAGAUUUCCCACAUACCCAUCUCCUAAGGCUAACACCUGAUGUAACCAUAGUAUAAUUACCAACCUACUAACUAA